AUAUGUUUUGCAGCUAAAAGAUGAGAAACAGAAGCUAACAUUCCAGUCUGCUUUAAAGACAGCAGCAACACAACCACUAUUUUCUGAUCACAUCGCUUGCUUAUAAAUAGUUGCAUACUCAGCUACUUUCAUGUUGUCAGUGUAUGUAAAUAUGAACCAUUCCUUCUCUGUACAAUUAAAUAUAGAAAAACAAUUCUUGUGCUUAUGGUAAAUAUCAGUGUUAGAUAUGUAUAAUGUAGAUGAUGUGUUAAACGCUGCCUUACUAUUCA